CCUACGGGAGGCAGCAGUGAGGAAUAUUGGUCAAUGGGCGCUAGCCUGAACCAGCCAAGUCGCGUGAAGGAUGACUGCCCUAUGGGUUGUAAACUUCUUUUAUAUGGGAAUAAAGUGCAGUGUGUAUACUGCUUUGCAUGUACCUUAUGAAUAAGGAUCGGCUAAGUCCGUGCCAGCCGCCGCGGUACUAAGGAGGAUCCGAGCGUUAUCCGGAUUUAUUGGGUUUAAAGGGAGCGUAGGCGGGUUGUUAAGUCAGUUGUGAAAGUUUGUGGCUCAACCGGAAAAUUGCAGUUGAUACUGGCAUCCUUGAGUAUAGUAGAGGGAGGCGGAAUUCGUGGUGUAGCGGUGAAAUGCGUAGAGAUCACGAAGAACUCCGAUGGCGAAGGCAGCCUGCUGGACUGUAACUGACGCUGAUGCGCGAAAGUGUGGGGAUCAAACAGGAUUAGAUACCCCUGUAGUC
rnacentral:rRNA from 1 species